AGCCAAGGGCUCACUAUCGCCUUCACGGGCACUCCAGGAGCACCUUCCUUCCCUCAGGCCCCAUCUCUUAAAGAUUACACCUGCCUCUAGGAGUGUCAUCAGCUAGAGACCAAGCCUUCUAGGGACACUUAAGCUCAAGACCAGCGGGAUUACAGAUAUGGCUUGGCAGUGUGGAGGAAACAGACUUUGACUUCCCGUAAGAUCUGCUGUGCCGGCCAAGGGAUGCAGCAUGGAUGGGAAGGAGAGACUGCUGGUGGCUGCCACACCUCUUCCGACACACAGGUGGUGACGGGUGCUGUGGUAUCAGAGACAUGCUGCUCAUCGGAGAGCCCAGUUGAUGGCUGAUGUGGACACAUGUGGUCACUGGUGGAUCGGAAGGACUCUGUGGUGCAGACUCACGGCUGGCUCAGAGUGUGUGAACUUCAUAGACUGUCCAUCGGGAAAGUCAGAUACCCAAGAAAAAGAGGAGGGAUACAUCUUCUCAGUGACUGUCACCAUGAUCCUACAGACCGAGCCUCACACCCCCUGCCCAGCAUACGGGUAGGCAGGAGUGCUCACCUGCAUCUCUGACAGGCUUGAGGACAAUGCAUCUUUCUUGUGCUAACAUCAUAAUCAUUACUUCACACUGCCUUAUGCCACACCAUGCUUCAUGGUUCCUGAAUUCAGAAGGCAGAAGAACAAUAGCGACCCAGCUACAGUGUUCACAAGGAGUUUUCCUGUCUACUGCCCAUGGCUGCUCCCCAUGAUCCUGUUAGGAACCAGGCUGCGUGGCCAGCUGCGGGAUGCAGAGAUCCCUCAGAUACAUGAGGGGGUGGUGUGAGUGGUCUGGCCAUGGAAAAAUGGGACAGAGUUUGAAGGCUACAUUUGUGGGGACAAAUGAUAUAAAAUAACUCUGUAGCUGGACUUUUCUUCUCCCUCUUUCCAGCUG